GUGACAUUGCUGGUUUUAUGAGCAGAGGAGCAUGUUCGGCGAUGGACACGCACUGAAUUUUUACAAGCAGACAAGGGAAUGCCAUGGAUCACGGGGCCCUACGCACAGCGCGUGAUCCGUGUUUGGAGAGGAGCGGCAGUGCACAUCUCCUUGGUUGUCAAUCAGGAGGCUUCUCAUGCCCAGCGUCGUCAGAACGACGAUAGUAUAGACGGAUUCUACAUCUUCUCGACAUGAGCCGUAGAGUUUUUGGAGGUUCAGAACAUUGAUGUGCCAUUUUGUUUGAGACUUGAUUGACACCUGCAUAGAAAGGCCUUUUUUAAAGUUACCAAUUUAUCGUAUUUUCUGGACUUCAUGUCUAUGACUCUGCUUUUUU